UACGAGUUUGAUCAUGGCUCAGGAUGAACGCUAGCGGCAGGCUUAAUACAUGCAAGUCAAGGGGGUAGCAAUACAACCGGCGCACGGGUGAGUAACGCGUACACAACAUACCAUAUACUGGAGUAUAGCUUUGGGAAACUGAAGGUAAUCCUCCAUAACAUUGCGAGAGGGCAUCUGAUUGCAAUUAAAGUUUCGGCGGUAUAUGAUUGGUGUGCGUUUGAUUAGCUAGUUGGUAGGGUAACGGCCUACCAAGGCGACGAUCAAUAGCUGGCGUGAGAGCGCGACCAGCCACACUGGAACUGAGACACGGUCCAGACUCCUACGGGAGGCAGCAGUAGGGAAUAUUGGACAAUGGAGGAAACUCUGAUCCAGCCAUGCCGCGUGAUAGAUGAAGGCCCUCUGGGUUGUAAAUAUCUUUUAUCUGGGAGAAACACUCCUAUUCUUAGGAACUUGACGGUACCAGAGGAAUAAGCACCGGCUAACUCCGUG
rnacentral:rRNA from 1 species